AUUGAACGCUGGCGGCAGGCCUAACACAUGCAAGUCGAGCGGCAGCGGGAAAGUAGCUUGCUACUUUUGCCGGCGAGCGGCGGACGGGUGAGUAAUGCCUGGGAAAUUGCCCAGUCGAGGGGGAUAACAGUUGGAAACGACUGCUAAUACCGCAUACGCCCUAUGGGGGAAAGCAGGGGACCUUCGGGCCUUGCGCGAUUGGAUAUGCCCAGGUGGGAUUAGCUAGUUGGUGAGGUAAUGGCUCACCAAGGCGACGCUCCCUAGCUGGUCUGAGAGGAUGAUCAGCCACACUGGAACUGAGACACGGUCCAGACUCCUACGGGAGGCAGCAGUGGGGAAUAUUGCACAAUGGGGGAAACCCUGAUGCAGCCAUGCCGCGUGUGUGAAGAAGGCCUUCGGGUUGUAAAGCACUUUCAGCGAGGAGGAAAGGUUGAUGCCUAAUACGUAUCAACUGUGACGUUACUCGCAGAAGAAGCACCGGCUAACUCCGUGCCAGCAGCCGCGGUAACAC
rnacentral:rRNA from 1 species